CUCUCCCUCUAUCUGAUCGCUUGCUUUACUUCCAAAACACAAAAACCAGUCAGUUGGAUUCAAGUUUUUCACCUGAAAAUCCCAACAUUUUUAAUUUUUCCGACACCCUUUUCAGCUGCAAGUGCGCCGUGAAAGAGAAAAAUGUGUGGAGGUGCUAUUAUUUCUGAUUUCAUAGCGCCGGCGGCGCGGUCCCGGCGGCUCACCGCCGACUACCUCUGGCCCGAUCUCAAAAAACCCAGUUCGGGAAAGCGGUUCUCGAAGCCUUUGAGGUCCGUAAUCGUUGACUUGGACUACGAUUUCGAGGCUGAUUUCCAGGAAUUCAAGGACGAGUCCGAUGUGGACGAGGACGAUGAAAUGGUUGAUUCCAAGCCCUCUGCUUUCUCUGCCGGAAAGCCCUCUUCUGCCCGUGGUUCUGCUGUGAAAUCUGUGGAGUUCAAUGGGCAAGCUGAGAAAUCUGCAAAGAGAAAAAGGAAGAACCAGUACAGGGGAAUUCGCCAGCGCCCAUGGGGAAAGUGGGCUGCAGAGAUCCGCGACCCAAGGAAAGGGGUUCGGGUUUGGCUUGGAACUUUCAACACUGCAGAAGAAGCUGCGAGGGCAUAUGACGCCGAGGCACGCAGAAUUCGUGGUAAGAAAGCUAAGGUUAACUUCCCUGAAGAAACCCCUCGUGCUUCUGCAAAGCGUUCUGUGAAGGCAAAUUCUCAGAAACUGAUACCCAAGACAAACGUGAAUGGCACUGAGUCUAGUCUGAACCAGAAUUUCAAUUUUGUGAACGACUCAAGUCAGGACUAUUACGGUGCUCUGGGUUUUCUGGAUGAAAAGCCAACGUUGAAUAACUUUGGGUAUAUGUCUACCUUCCCUGCCAAUGGAGAUGUUGCACUGAAAUCCUCUACUCCAUCCGAUCCUGCCCCCUUUUAUUUGAGUUCCGAUCAGGGAAGCAACUCGUUUGAUUGUUCUGAGUUCGGCUGGGGAGAACAAGGCUCAAAGACUCCAGAAAUCUCAUCAGUUCUUUCUUCUGUGAUGGAAGAAACUGACGACUCACUGUUUCUGGAGGAUGCUAACCCAACGAAGAAGCUGAAGCCCAACUCACGGGAUCUGGUGCUUCCUCAGGAUAGUACAGGAAAGACAUUGUCUGAUGAGCUCUCAGCUUUUGAGAUGAAGUACUUUCAGACCCCAUAUCUUGAUGGGAGCUGGGAUGCUUCAGUGGACGCCUUCCUUAACGGAGACGCAACUCAGGAUGGUGGUAAUCCAGUGGACCUAUGGACCUUUGACGAUCUGCCAGCAAUUGUUGGAGGAACUUUCUGAGCGAUGAACCUUACCCCAGCUUUCCAGUUUAUGUAAAUAAAGCUACAUGUUAGAUGUGUUUCGGGUUGGAGUGCAUCUGUGCAAGCUGAUGACAUGGAUAAGGCUUGUACGGGGGAGUAUUUAAGCCGUAGCUAAUGGCGUAUGGAGAUCGUAUAGGUAUUAGGAUUACUUUCACCUCCAAAGAACUUGUGGUUUCUGAACUUUCAUGUUUGUAACGAUGAAAUUGUGUGAGUUAUGAUGACACUGAAACCUCAUAAUUUUGUACUUGUUAAAAUUUAUUUCGGUCUUCCUUUUUACAAGAGGCCAUCAGAUUUUGCA